GAUGAACGCUGGCGGCGUGCUUAACACAUGCAAGUCGAACGGUGAAAGAGAGCUUGCUCUCUGGAUCAGUGGCGAACGGGUGAGUAACACGUGAGCAAUCUGCCCCUGACUCUGGGAUAAGCGCUGGAAACGGCGUCUAAUACCGGAUACGAGCUGCGAAGGCAUCUUCAGCAGCUGGAAAGAACUUCGGUCAGGGAUGAGCUCGCGGCCUAUCAGCUAGUUGGUGAGGUAACGGCUCACCAAGGCGUCGACGGGUAGCCGGCCUGAGAGGGUGACCGGCCACUCUGGGACUGAGACACGGCCCAGACUCCUACGGGAGGCAGCAGUGGGGAAUAUUGCACAAUGGGCGAAAGCCUGAUGCAGCAACGCCGCGUGAGGGACGACGGCCUUCGGGUUGUAAACCUCUUUUAGCAGGGAAGAAGCGAAAGUGACGGUACCUGCAGAAAAAGCACCGGCUAACUACGUG
rnacentral:rRNA from 1 species